rnacentral:rRNA from 1 species
UACGUAGGGGGCAAGCGUUGUCCGGAUUUAUUGGGCGUAAAGAGCGUGUAGGCGGCUUUACAGGUCCGUUGUGAAAACUCGAGGCUCAACCUCGAGACGCCGGUGGAAACCGUAAAGCUAGAGUCCGGAAGAGGAGAGUGGAAUUCCUGGUGUAGCGGUGAAAUGCGCAGAUAUCAGGAAGAACACCAACGGCAAAGGCAGCUCGCUAGGACGGUACUGACGCUGAGACGCGAAAGCGUGGGGAGCGAACAGG